GCCCUCUCUCUCCUGGUCUGUGUCCCUGUUUCCUCUGCCUCGCACGCCCGGUAUUGUAUUGUUGUGUGCCGCUGGCAGCGCUCAGAGCUGGCACUCCGGGAAACAUUCAGGGGCUCGGCGCAGUAGAAGGGAGAGCUGGCAGCUGGACACCACCAACUUAAAUGUCUGGAGGGGAGCAGAAUGGGGGUGACAAACCAGAAGACCCUGCGCUCCGUACCGAGGUGUGGCCGGAGGUGGCCCGAGCGGAGCUCCUGGCGAGAGGAGCGGCCCUGAAGUGGGUGUCGGGGGUCUUCUCUCGGCCGGAGCACCUGGAGAGACUGGGCCAGUAUAGGAAGAGAGAGAGCCAGAGGACCUCCUCCAUACACACCCGACUCAAGGUGACGCCCUCCUGCAGACAAACACACCAACGCUUAGAUAGGUCUAACAUUCGAUAAAACAGCCUCCCAGAACUACAUAUUUGAGGUUGCAUUAUUGAGGUUGCCAGGCAGUUCCCCUACAGGUAAAGUUAAUCUGCACUGUUUAUUAUCUGAAGGGGCUUCUCUGCCCUCCAUCGUCCCGCUUCAGACCAAAACAGAGGCUCAUCCUACUAUGAAGGCGAGUUCGGAUUGGGGAAAUCUACGCUCAUAAACUCUCUCUUCCUGACCGACCUGUACUCCAAGGACUAUCCCGGGCCAUCCCAGCGCAUCAAGAAGACCGUCCAGGUGGAACAAUCCAAAGUGCUGAUAAAGGAAGGCGGUGUCCAGCUCACACUCACUAUUGUAGACACACCAGGGUUCGGAGAUGCUGUGGACAACAGCAAUUGCUGGCAGCCGGUCAUCAACUACAUCGACAGCAAGUGUGAGGACUUCCUCAACGCAGAGUCCAGGGUGAACCGCAGACUGAUGCCAGACAACCGGGUGCACUGCUGCCUCUACUUCAUUGCCCCCUCCGGUCACGGCUUCUCCUCCAGCUCGGGCUCAGCGGUCAGCCUCUAGUUGGGGAAACAGCCCCGACCGUUCUUCUGCCGCUUCCCAGAGGGCCCGGCCUCUUCCCCUGCCUGGUGGGGGGGCGGGCCCCGGAGCUUCUCCCGGGGGAUCCUGGCAUUCCUCAGACGCUCCUGCACAGGGGGAAACGGGCUGAACGCGUACUUACCUCUGCCCGCCACGCCUUCUGGAACGUCAGAGGCCGGCGGGCUGCCUGGGGCCUGGGACCUCUGGCCUUUGGCGAACUGGGAGCGCUCCAUCCCAGAGAGGUCCGCCUUGGCGCCUCCGAGCGCCCGGCGGCGGGCGGAGGCAGUGGCGUUCCGGGACGAGGGGGCGGAGCUCAGCGGGGCGUCCCGCAGAUCCACUGUGAAGGACACUGUUUAAAAGUACACGUUAAGCAUACUUUAAAGCAACAAAUAUACUUGGAAUAACUUUUGUAUGUGUAGCACCUCGCUGAUCAUCACAUGUGCUAGGGCUAGAUUCUAGGUUCUAAGGAGCAGUGUGUGACUAAGUUAAUAACGACACACCAAGACUGAGAGGUAAGUUUGAACUGUGGUUCAUUUAUGUAGCAAAUAAAAUGGUGAAUCCAUACAUCAUUCGAAAAAUAAACCAUGAAAAAUAGAAUAAAUCAAAUAUGUAAAAAAAGAAAAGUAUUUCCCUUCUUUUGGUUCACUUUGGGUUGAUUUACACCUAUUUAGGUCAAUAAAAAUAUUUCUAACGUUGCACCUUUAAGUUGCUAUUUGAAUUAUUAUUCGCUUUUUAGUUGACUCAAUUUAACUAUAGCCUAAUUGUAUCCAAGUGGUGCAAUUUUGAGAAUUUAGUACUAUUUUCUAUUUAUUUUAAACACCAAAUACCCAAUAAACAAAAGAAAUGCAAAUACAAUAAAAUACAACUUAGUGCAUCAAGUAGAAAAAAAAAGAAAAAAGAAAACUAGCAUUAUCUGGGAUCAAUACACUUCAAUUUUGAACAUAAUAUCUAAUCAGUCCUUUUGUCAAAUCCUUCACUUCAGUUGAAGCUCCACUAAAUGUUGCAGACACUUUUGGAAAGUUAAUUUGUCUUACCACACUCCUCAGUUAUCCAAGAACAGGAGCGUGGUCCUGCAGCAUGCAUGAGUGCUACAGCUCGCGAUUGACGUCUUCUAUGGGUAGCUCGCCAUCUUGUUUUUUCUUCGGUUCUGUUCUACCAAACGAUCUCCUCCUCAUAAAAAUAAACGUCUGAGUCCUCAAACGAAUAACAACACAAAGUCCCGUGGCAUAGAAAGAAGUAACACAGAAUCCUCCUAAUAAAAAAAACUGAGUUCUCAACCGAAUAACAACAGAGUCCCGUGGCAUAGAAAAAAGUAUCACAGAAUUCUCCAAUAGAACGUUAAAAUAAAGUAAUCCAAAGUAAUCCAAAAACAAAGGGAAAAAAUGAGGCUCAAUGCUCUUUAAAACCUUGCUUUGUUUUUGCUUUUCUCUAUUUUCUUUUACCUCUUGUUAUUCUCCUCUUAUUACUAGGUUUUUCUGUCUGUCUGUCGCUAGUCUUUACCGCAUCAAACUGGUCCGUUCCGGUUUUUCGCGCUCACUCACUCGCAAGUGACGCUACACCGUUCUGAUUGGUUGUCUACGGUUGCACUCGCUAAAGGGCAAUACACCAAUUAUAUUAUCACAAAGGUACAAUAUAAUAACAACAAAGGUUUUUUACUUUAUAGCCAUGUUUAUAGUUUUUAAAUUGUAGUUGACUUAAUACAACAUGCUAUAUUAGAUACCCACUAUACAUUUAUUACUGUGUUUAACCUUUUAUUUGUUUAGGUCAGUUAACCUGGGUUACAUAUGCUUCAAUUAUAUUUGUACUACAAUAAAGUGUACUGCUUGUUCACCUGGAGGUUUAUGUGGGGGCUUGGCCUCAGUAGGGCGGAGGACGAUCCUGUCGUUGGCGCCAGCGGCUGGGGCAGCCAACCGGGGCAGCCUAGCCCCACGAUGGUGGUCAGGGUCAGCCACUUUUAAUGAGGGGAAAUUAAGUACACUUUAAUAAAACAUAGUACAAGUACACAAUGACCACGUAUUUGCAAUUUUUCUAACUGUACGUCCACACCAGAAGCGAAUUGAGCUACCAAAUCGCCGGAAGUCAUUCACUUUCUAUGGGCAAGAGCGACCAAAGCGACCAACGCUACCAGCGGCCAAAGUUGAGCGACCAGAGUGUCCAAAAAAAGUUGAAAACUUUUUAACUUUAUGCAAAUUACUAUGAUGUUCCUUUGUUCCUACCUACCUUUAUUCACUCACUGAACAAAAUGUCGGCUGAAGUAUUAAUCGCGGCUGUAACUGGGCACCCGGUGUUGUACGACCCAACCCUUUUUCAGUUCAGAGAUCGAAACGCCAUAGUGGUUUGGAUACCAAGUGAUGAUAAGCGGGAGUAUUUAUACAUCUAGAACGUUCGUAUUUAAGCGGGAAUCAUUUUUAUUAUCUCUCCAUGCCACCAAUCUAACCAACCAAUCGCGUGUAGCAUGCUUUAAACAAAACCAAAAAAGUUUUUGAAAUCGUCACAUAAACAAACUAAUCGACAAGACGAGGGAUAAAUGACAAGGGAUAUAUCUAUUUUCUUUUAUCCCUCUAUUCCCCACUAUUCACGGAGCCUUAGGUGAAUAAUUGUUAAUUAAAUAGUCUAGAUAGAUAGAUAGCCUAGUCAAGUCUUUAUUAAUACCAAACGACACAAAUCGUCGGGAAUCCAUUUAGGUGGUUCGGCCCACACAGGACAGUAGCCUACAAGACCACACAGAACAAGUCUGACUGGACAUACACACAAUACAUCACAUUAAAACUAGACACGCGUUGAUAGAUAGAUAGACAGAUAGGCCUAGAUAGAUAGAUAUGUUCCAUUAUUUGCCUUGCGGAGCCAACCAGUCCUGUGCACGUAUGCAAAUUAGCCAUGUGCGCCAAUGUCUAUUUGUUUUGAGUGUGACGAAUGAGUGCAGAUCAUGAUUUGCAGAUGCAGAUCAGUGAAACAUAUUUUAACUAGCCUACUACAGCACGCAGGGUUUUUUGUUCUCGGUUGUAAUUAGCCUACAUUUUAGGAGUUUUUUUAUAUUGGGGGGAAUCACUGUCCUACUUGUUGUCGAAGCACUUUAUCCAACAAGCAAAACCGUCUCGGCAAUAUGGCCAAAGUGUAUGGGAGAGUUCACUCUUUGAUAUGGCUGUCUGUACUAAAAGCAUACGGCUCCUUUAAAUGCGUCUGCAUAAUUGAAUUGUACGUCAUGAGCGACUUGAGCGACCAAAGCGAACAGAAAUAUUCGCAGCGAAACUUUGUGAGCGACCAAAGCGUGGUCGCUCCUGGUGUGGACGUAC